GACGAACGCUGGCGGCGUGCCUAAUACAUGCAAGUCGAGCGGAGCCGCGACCGAGUGAGUAAUUCCUAGGAAUCUGCCUGGUAGUGGGGGAUAACGUCCGGAAAAGGGCUCUAAUAUCGCAUACUAACAGAUGAGCCUAGGUCGGAGUACCUAGUUGGUGGGGUAAAGGCCUACCAAGGCGACGAUCCGUAACUGGGCUGAGGGGAUGAUCAGUCACACGGGAAAUGAGACACGGUCCAGACGCCUACGUGAGGCAGCAGUGGGGAAUAUUGGAGAAUGGGCGAAAGCCUGAUGCAGCCAUGCCGCGUGUGGGAAGAAGGUCUUCGGAUUUUAAAGCACUUUAAGUUGGGAGGCGUUACCAACAGAAUAAGCACCGGCUAACUUCGUGCCAGCAGCCGCGGUAAUAC
rnacentral:rRNA from 1 species